UUGUAAUUGAUUUGUUUAUAAAUAAAAUAUAUUUUUGAUAAUUUUUGAAGUAAAUUUUAGUGCAGGGGUAAAAUGAUAAUUUUAAAACUUUUUCAAAAUUAUAAUUUUAUAGUAAAAAUUAUUAAUUAAUCUAAUUAAUUAAUAUGUAUUAACCCUACACAAGGAUCUAAAUAUGAUAUAUAUAGCAUGUAUUUAAAUUUAAAAUUUAAACUUCUACAGUAAAUAUUUUACUAUUAUGUGUUCAAAGCACAUUACCUUCGUGCAG
rnacentral:lncRNA from 1 species